GACGAACGCUGGCGGCGUGCUUAACACAUGCAAGUCGAACGGAAAGGCCCCCUUGUGGGGUACUCGAGUGGCGAACAGGUGAGUAGCACGUGAGUAACCUACCCUUGACUUUGGGAUAACUUCAGGAAACUGGGGCUAAUACCGGAUAGGAGCUCCUGCUGCAUGGUGGGGGUUGGAAAGUUUCGGCGGUUGGGGAUGGACUCGCGGCUUAUCAGCUUGUUGGUGGGGUAGUGGCUCACCAAGGCUUUGACGGGUAGCCGGCCUGAGAGGGUGACCGGCCACAUUGGGACUGAGAUACGGCCCAGACUCCUACGGGAGGCAGCAGUGGGGAAUAUUGCACAAUGGGCGGAAGCCUGAUGCAGCAACGCCGCGUGCUGGAUGACGGCCUUCGGGUUGUAAACCGCUUUCGCCUGUGACGAAGCGUGAGUGACGGUAAUGGGUAAAGAAGCACCGGCUAACUACGUG
rnacentral:rRNA from 1 species